GACGAACGCUGGCGGCGUGCCUAAUACAUGCAAGUCGAACGCAGUGGGGACGGGUGAGUAACACGUGGGUAACCUCCCAUCAGAGGGGAUAACACUUGGAAACAGGUGCUAAACCGAUACUGAUGGAUGGACCCGCGGUGCAUUAGCUAGUUGGUGAGGUAACGGCUCACCAAGGCCACGAUGCAUAGCCGACCUGAGAGGGUGAUCGGCCACACUGGGACUGAGACACGGCCCAGACUCCUACGGGAGGCAGCAGUGGGGAAUAUUGCACAAUGGGCGCAAGCCUGAUGCAGCCAUGCCGCGUGUAUGAAGAAGGCCUUAGGGUUGUAAAGUACUUUCAGCGGGGAGGCGUUACCCGCAGAAGAAGCACCGGCUAACUCCGUGCCAGCAGCCGCGGUAAUUC
rnacentral:rRNA from 1 species